AUUGCUAAUUAAAUUAGCAUUAAGAUCAAGUGUAGAAUCUGUUCUUAUCAGUUUAAUAUCUGAUACGUCCUCUAUAAGAGUACUACAUAUUAAAUAGAUUUUUAGGACAGGGAGACGGAAGAGGGGCUUGCUCCGUCCGCUCCACGCAUCGACCUGGUAUUGCAGUACCUCCUGGGGCAGUCGUGGGCUG
rnacentral:snRNA from 1 species